rnacentral:rRNA from 1 species
AUUGAACGCUAGCGGGAUGCCUUACACAUGCAAGUCGAACGGAGGGCCGAACGGGUGGGUAAUGUAUCGGAACGUGCCAGGUAGCGGGGGAUAAUUACGGGAAAGCGUAGCAAUAACCGCAUACAUUUGGAGCGGCCGAUAUGGGAUUAGCUAGUUGGUGAGGUAAAGGCUCACCAAGGCGACGAUACAUAGCCGACCUGAGAGGGUGAUCGGCCACACUGGGACUGAGACACGGCCCAGACUCCUACGGGAGGCAGCAGUGGGGAAUUUUGGACAAUGGGGGAAACCCUGAUCCAGCCAUCCCGCGUGUGCGAUGAAGGCCUUCGGGUUGUAAAGCACUUUUGGCAGGAAAGCGGUACCUGCAGAAUAAGCACCGGCUAACUACGUGCCAGCCGCCGCGGUAAUUC